rnacentral:misc_RNA from 1 species
GUAGGUGAACCUGCGGAAGGAUCAUUAGAGUAUUGCUCAAGGGGGGGUUUGCUGCUGGCUUAGGCAUGUGCGCACCCCUCGACUUCUAGUUUGCAUCAUACACCUUGUGCACCAUGGGUGAGCGUCCUCCCAUUCGGAGCCGUCUCGCAUGACCUCUUCGGAGGGAAGGCGGGACUGAGGGCGCUCCCUUCAUAUAUACAUCUGCAGCCUGUUUUUAAACGCAUGUCUAAUGUCCCUUGAGGGGACAAAUGUAAUACAACUUUCAACAACGGAUCUCUUGGCUUUC